rnacentral:rRNA from 1 species
CCUACGGGUGGCAGCAGUCGAGAAUCAUUCACAAUGGGGGAAACCCUGAUGGUGCGACGCCGCGUGGGGGAAUGAAGGUCUUCGGAUUGUAAACCCCUGUCAUGUGGGAGCAAAUUAAAAAGAUAGUACCACAAGAGGAAGAGACGGCUAACUCUGUGCCAGCACCCGCGGUAAUACAGAGGUCUCAAGCGUUGUUCGGAAUCACUGGGCGUAAAGCGUGCGUAGGCUGUUUCGUAGGUCGUGUGUGAAAGGCGCGGGCUCAACCCGCGGACGGCACAUGAUACUGCGAGACUAGAGUGAUGGAGGGGGAACCGGAAUUCUCGGUGUAGCAGUGAAAUGCGUAGAUAUCGAGAGGAACACUCGUGGCGAAGGCGGGUUCCUGGACAUUAACUGACGCUGAGGCACGAAGGCCAGGGGAGCGAAAGGGAUUAGAUACCCCAGUAGUC